rnacentral:rRNA from 1 species
UAGUGAGUUUGAUCCUGGCUCAGAACGAACGCUGGCGGCGUGCCUAACACAUGCAAGUCAAACGGGUAGCAAUACCAGUGGCGCACGGGUGAGUAAUGCAUGGGUAAUCUGCCUAAGAGUGGGGGAUAACUACGCGAAAGUGUAGCUAAUACCGCAUACGGAGCAUCGAUGCUUUCGAUGCUCGAAACGUGGGGACCGCAAGGCCUACGGCUCUAUGAUGAGCUCAUGUCCCAUUAGCUUGUUGGCGGUGUAACAGCCCACCAAGGCGAAGAUGGGUAGCUGGUCUGA